AUAUUCAUGUUUCAUGGUUUGUCAUUGACUACUAUCUGUAAACUGUAACAAAAUAAGAACCAGAAAGGAGGGUUCCAGAACUAUAAUAACAGCUCUGUUUAGGUAACCAAAUUUAACAAAACAAUAGCGGUGAUACUUGGUCAGAACAGAUAAUAUGAUAACUAGAGACAAAUAG